AAAAAAGGAAGAAUUCAAGGAAAUGGGGCGGAAAAAGGAAGAGAUAAACAGAAAAGAGGAGGAGGUGUGAAAGUGGAGAAGAUAAACUUGUCCACGAAUUCACACAAUUUAUAGUAGGCAGACGGGGCUGGAAAAUGGACAGAGAAAGAAAAGAAAAUGAAGAGGAAAGAGCAUACGAAGUUCCAGUGGUCGGAGACAAAAGGAAUCUUUUAGCAUCUGAACCACAAUUU
rnacentral:misc_RNA from 1 species